GACAGAGGGUGCAAACGUCGCUCGGAAUUACUGGGCGUAAAGCGCGUGUAGGUGGACUGGUGUGUCAGAUGUGAAAUCCCUGGGCUCAACCCAGGAACUGCACCUGAAACUACCAGCCUUGAGUGGUGGAGAGGGAAGUGGAAUUCCUGGUGUAGAGGUGAAAUUCGUAGAUAUCAGGAGGAACACCAGUGGCGAAGGCGGCUUCCUGGACACCAACUGACGCUGAGACGCGAAAGCGUGGGGAGCAAACAGG
rnacentral:rRNA from 1 species